AUUGAACGCUGGCGGCAGGCCUAACACAUGCAAGUCGCACGAGUGGCGUACGGGUGAGUAAUUUCUGGGAAACUGCCUGAUGGAGGGGGAUAACUACUGGCAACGGUAGCUAAUAACUCAUACCAUCGGAUGUGCCCAGAUGGGAUUAGCUAGUAGGUGGGGUAAAGGCGCACCUAGGCGAGGAUCCCUAGCUGGUCUGAGAGGCAGACCAGCCAGACUGGAACUGAGACACGGCCCAGACGCCGACGGGAGGUAGCAGUGGGGAAUAUUGAACAAUGGGCGUAAGCCUGAUGCAGCCAUGCCGCGUGUAUGAAGAAGGCCUUCGGGUUGGAAAGUACUUGCAGCGGGGAGGCGUUACCCGCAGAAGAAGCACCGGCUAACGCCGUGCCAGCAGCCGCGGUAAUUC
rnacentral:rRNA from 1 species